rnacentral:rRNA from 1 species
AGAGUUUGAUCCUGGCUCAGGACGAACGCUGGCGGCGUGCCUAACACAUGCAAGUCGAGCGGAGAUCAUGGAGUGCUUGCACAAAAUGAUUUCAGCGGCGGACGGGUGAGUAACGCGUGAGCAAUCUGUCUCGGACAGGGGGGUAACGUACCGAAAGGUGCACUAAUACCGCAUAAGACCACAGAGCCACAUGGCUUAGGGGUCAAAGGAGAAAUCCGGUCUGAGGUGAGCUCGCGUCCCAUUAGGUAGUUGGUGAGGUAACGGCCCACCAAGCCUGCGAUGGGUAGCCGACCUGAGAGGGUGAUCGGCCACACUGGAACUGAGACACGGUCCAGACUCCUACGGGAGGCAGCAGUGGGGAAUAUUGGGCAAUGGGGGAAACCCUGACCCAGCAACGCCGCGUGAGGGAAGAAGGUUCUCGGAUUGUAAACCUCUGUCCUAUGAGAAGAGGGGAAGACGGUAUCAUAGGAGGAAGCCCCGGCUAACUACGUGCCAGCAGCCGCGGUAAUACGUAGGGGGCGAGCGUUGUCCGGAUUUACUGGGUGUAAAGGGUGCGUAGGCGGCAUAGCAAGUCAGAUGUGAAAUGUAUGGGCUUAACCCAUGAACUGCAUUUGAAACUGCUAAGCUUGAGUGAAGUAGAGGUAGGCGGAAUUCCCUGUGUAGCGGUGAAAUGCGUAGAGAUAGGGAGGAACACCAGUGGCGAAGGCGGCCUACUGGGCUUUAACUGACGCUGAGGCACGAAAGCGUGGGUAGCAAACAGGAUUAGAUACCCUGGUAGUCCACGCUGUAAACGAUGAUUACUAGGUGUGGGGGGUCUGACCCCCUCCGUGCCGCAGUUAACACAAUAAGUAAUCCACCUGGGGAGUACGGCCGCAAGGUUGAAACUCAAAGGAAUUGACGGGGGCCCGCACAAGCAGUGGAGUAUGUGGUUUAAUUCGAAGCAACGCGAAGAACCUUACCAGGUCUUGACAUCCAACUAACGAAGUAGAGAUACAUUAGGUGCCCUUCGGGGAAAGUUGAGACAGGUGGUGCAUGGUUGUCGUCAGCUCGUGUCGUGAGAUGUUGGGUUAAGUCCCGCAACGAGCGCAACCCUUGCUAUUAGUUGCUACGCAAGAGCACUCUAAUAGGACUGCCGUUGACAAAACGGAGGAAGGUGGGGACGACGUCAAAUCAUCAUGCCCCUUAUGACCUGGGCUACACACGUACUACAAUGGAUAUCAACAGAGGGAAGCUAAGCAGCGAUGUGGAGCCAACCCCUAAAAAUGUUCUCAGUUCAGAUUGCAGGCUGCAACCCGCCUGCAUGAAGUCGGAAUUGCUAGUAAUCGCGGAUCAGCAUGCCGCGGUGAAUACGUUCCCGGGCCUUGUACACACCGCCCGUCACACCAUGGGAGCCGGUAAUACCCGAAGUCAGUAGUUUAACCGCAAGGAGAACGCUGCCGAAGGUAGGAUUGGCGACUGGGGUGAAGUCGUAACAAGGUAACC